rnacentral:rRNA from 1 species
UACGUAGGGUGCGAGCGUUGUCCGGAAUUAUUGGGCGUAAAGAGCUCGUAGGCGGUGUGUCGCGUCGGCCGUGAAAACCUGGGGCUCAACUCUGGGCGUGCGGUCGAUACGGGCAUCACUUGAGUUCGGCAGGGGAGACUGGUAUUCCUGGUGUAGCGGUGAAAUGCGCAGAUAUCAGGAGGAACACCGGUGGCGAAGGCGGGUCUCUGGGCCGAUACUGACGCUGAGGGGCGAAAGCAUGGGUAGCGAACAGG